UACCAGCCGGGGAGGCAGCGGUGUCCUGUACCUGCAAUCCGCUACAGCAGGGGUUGAUCCCCCGUCUGAGGGCCGAACUUCUGCGGACUGGAGCCGCGAAGCACUGCGUUGAAGGAUGGGUCUUGCGCAAUUGGGAGCUGUGAACCAUGUCAGGUGGGGAACCAAGCAGCAUUAAGCGGUCAACCCAAUGUGCCGCGAGGGUGCCUGUCCCGAGCAGUAUUCGUGUGUAUCGCGCGGAAGGGAAGCUCG
rnacentral:SRP_RNA from 1 species